AGAGUUUGAUCCUGGCUCAGGAUGAACGCUAGCGGCAGGCCUAAUACAUGCAAGUCGAGGGGUAUAUUACUUUCGGGUAAUAGAGACCGGCGGACGGGUGCGUAACGCGUAUGCAACCUACCUUUUACUGGGGCAUAGCCCGGGGAAACCCGGAUUAAUACCUCAUAGUAUUGUUUGAUGGCAUCUGAAGACAAUUAAAGAUUUAUCGGUAAAAGAUGGGCAUGCGUAAGAUUAGCUAGUUGGUGUGGUAAUGGCGCACCAAGGCGACGACCUUUAGGGGGUCUGAGAGGAUGAUCCCCCACACUGGUACUGAGAUACGGACCAGACUCCUACGGGAGGCAGCAGUAGGGAAUAUUGGUCAAUGGGUGAGAGCCUGAACCAGCCAUGCCGCGUGCAGGAAGACGGCCUUCUGGGUUGUAAACUGCUUUUAUACGGGAAGAAAAGGCCCUUGCGAGGGACAUUGCCGGUACCGUAUGAAUAAGCACCGGCUAACUCCGUGCCAGCAGCCGUGGUAAUACGGAGGGUGCAAGCGUUGUCCGGAUUUAUUGGGUUUAAAGGGUACGUAGGCGGCCGUUUAAGUCAGUGGUGAAAUCCCGCAGCUCAACUGUGGAACUGCCAUUGAUACUGGACGGCUUGAGUACUGUUAAGGUAGGCGGAAUUGAUGGUGUAGCGGUG
rnacentral:rRNA from 1 species